UUUCAUCUUCAAACACAAUCAUUUUUUUUUUUCGAAAAUUAAACUCUCCGAUCAUUUUUUUUCCUUCUGAAAAAACUUCUCUUGCACGAAAAAUUUGAAUCAAUCUAAGGCGAAAAAUGGAUUGGGGCACCGUCACCACAGAAGAUCUGAUCGAAGCUCUACGCGAGGUCGACUGGUCAUCUCCGCCGCGUCCGCUAUCUGAAUUCUUCUCCAGAUUCACUUUCCCCCGAUCUUCAUCCAAAUGGAACAGUCGACUCAAGUGCAAUCUUUACUACUACCGGACAAAUUACUUCAUUAUGAUUGUGGCUAUUCUUGCACUGGGAUUUCUUAGGAGGCCACUUGCUAUUGUUGCUGCUCUUUUGACAACUCUUAGUAUUGCUUUCCUAAAUGAUAGUUUCGCAGGCACUUUCAGUGAAAAGGUGACAAGAACUGUCAGGCAGUUUUCUCCUCAUUUGGCUGCAAAAAUGAGACCUCCACUCAUGCCAGUUAUUCGAGGGCGUCCAUCUGCUAAACGAGCAAUUUUCAUUUGUGGAAGGCCUCGUUGGGUGUUUGUCUUGGUAUUCUCUCUAGCGAGUUUCUUCCUUUGGUUUGUUUCCUGUGGCCUCUUAACUGUCUUAUGGGCAUUGGCUAUAGGGCUUCUUUCCACUCUUCUUCAUGCAAGCUUUAGGACUCCUAAUCUGAAGGCUCGCCUUAACACCUUCCGUGAGGAAUUCCGAGCUGUCUGGCGCAACUAUAGCGAGCUGUAGCUUCCACGGAGUUUUUCGUGUUAGUUACUAUCCUGAGCUCUUCCAUUAUGUUUAUUCAUUCUUCUUUAUGCAUGUAUGGGCUGUUUGUUUUGUUUUCCUAGUGUCUGUAAAUUAACAUGGUCUAUUCAUGCUUGAAAUAAUUUUACGUUUACUUGUACAAUUUUCUGCCCUUGAAUGAGCUAUUUAGUUUGUAUUUCCCUUUGCUAAAACUAAAGAACAACAGUUGUCAAGUUGUAUUUUCCAAAACCUCUCUGCAAUUUGAAACAAGAAAGUAUCUGAUUUGAUAGCCAGAUGACGGUUGAUUGAAUCACUUGUUACUUCUGCCAAGGAAAUGCGGUGCCUCUCUGUUCAUUUCCUUCACGUGCUUGCAUAUCCUUGUUUGGACAAGUAUUAAAGAAAUUAUGUUGUCAAACCUGCUGUUGUGCUUAUCGAACCUUUGAUGUCGCGAUUGACUCAGCCGGAGCAUUAGAAAAGCUGGGUAUCAUGUAAAUCUAUGAGAGGCUGGAUCUACAGGCUAUUCAAAGUGCACUUUGAGGAAAGUUGUAUUGCUUUUGAGACUGACUGCUUCUGUGGUAUAGAGAUUGUAUUAUGAAGAAAAUAGUCAAAUGAAAGUUAUCAUGAGAAACUACACGCUAAACUUUUCUCUGGCAAAAAUGUUAAAGCAUUUUUGAGAGAAUCUUGUCCAAGAGAUUCUAGGAGCUAAAGAAAAUGAAGUUGAAGAUGCUUUGCAAGUUGUUCUGAAUCACAGAAAAUAUGAACUAAUGAGAACUUCUUCUUCAUUAAGUUCCGGCUUAAGACAUAGUUUCCCCUUGACCUUGUGGGGCAAAAUCCCUUUUACACAUCUUUCCUUUACGGAAACCUUUUAUACACCAGACAUUUCACGGAAUGUGUCUAAUAGUCACCACUUUUGCUCAAUUGGUAUGUGCGUCAAACACUAACAAAAUAGUGCGUGAAAGGCUUAAUUAAGUCUUUACACUUACUUAUCAGCAGUCUAUAUCUGGAGCCAACAAAGCCCAACACUGUUAAAAGGCCCAUUUUUACUCCACUUUUGCUUAAAUCCAUCUUCAUCUCCAUUGCUAUCCAUGGAGCAAGCUUCAGAAAGCAGGCUUCCACCACAUUUUCAAAACAUUAAGAAGUAGAUAAAAAAUGGUGAAAAAGAGCUGGCCGGUUGUAUGAAAAGAUGGCAAUGAAAUGCAAGAAAUAGAGGAAACAAAAACCUUCCACAAAGGGGUUGAUACAAGAAAAUGCAAGAAACAGAGGAAAGAAAGUGGAGAGGAAAUAAGUACCCAUUUGCUGAAUCUGUCAUUUCGAACAAAAGAGAAGUUGGACUUUAAUUUUACAAGCUCCUUGUUGUAGUAAUAGUGUUGCAGUGAAAUCUUGUUAAGGGUAAAGUGAAUAAGUUCAGCUUGGUGCUUCACAGUAGAGAGAGAGAAGAAGUAUAUUGGUGGGAAUUGUCAAAGGAGAAAAGAGUGUUAUUUAGAAAUACAGUAUGAGUAUUGAGCCGCAAAAAAUCUACAUGAAAUCCUACAGGACAUGGCCAUGUUUACGCCACAUAAGUUUUGUAGAUUUUAGCAAAAGUGGUGUGUAUUAUACCCACUUCGUGAAACGUUUAGUAGGUAAAAGGUUCUCCGUUAAGGAGAGGUGUAUAAAAGGGAUUUGGUUACAAGUUCAGGGGGUAAACUAUCCUUAUGAUUCAAGCAUGGAGCAGCAGUUGUGGAAACUUACUAUAUUGCGCGGAGCUUUAUUAUAGUGUGGAUGGUGCAAUCUGUAGUUUUCUUUGACGUGGCAGCUUUCUCAAGUAACGAUCUGCGAUAUCUGCAGAUCAGCCACGGGUUGUAAAUUUCCUUGAAUUCUUACCAUAUUGUAUGGUACUGACUUCUACCAUUCAUGUACGUUGAAAAAUUAGUUUCGGAUUUAGGUGCACAGUAAGUAUUUCCUAGAAAGUCUGUAUUAUCAGUCCAUUCUUAUUGUCUUUGAGAAACUCCUUGCUUCUCUUACUGUUCAAAACUGCAGUAAAGCUGAUUUUAGCUUAAAGUUUUUACCUGAUCUACUAUAAAUGUUCCUGGGAUGCCUCUUUUCUAAAGAAUCCUUUUUCAAAUCGUGCUA